CCUACGGGAGGCAGCAGUGAGGAAUAUUGGUCAAUGGCCGGAAGGCUGCACCAGCCAUGCCGCGUGAAGGUCAGUGCCCUAUGGGCGUUAAACUUCUUUUGUGCGGGAGCAAUAAUGGUCACGUGUGGCCAGACGAGAGUACCGUACGAAUAAGCAUCGGCUAACUCCGUGCCAGCAGCCGCGGUAAUACGGGGGAUGCAAGCGUGAUCCGGAUUUCUUGGGUUUAAAGGGUGCGUAGGCUGUUAGGUAAGUCAGCGGUGAAAUGCCCCCGCUCAACGGGGUGAAGUGCCAUUGAUACUGCCUUGCUUGAAUGCGGAUGCCGUGGGAGGAAUGUGUGGUGUAGCGGUGAAAUGCAUAGAUAUCACACAGAACACCGAUUGCGAAGGCAUCUCACGAAUCCGCGAUUGACGCUGAUGCACGAAAGCGUGGGUAUCAAACAGGAUUAGAUACCCCAGUAGUC
rnacentral:rRNA from 1 species